UGCUUGCAAAUGGAAGAAGUAACCGAGUGUCAGUUCCCAUCUUUGUGAACCCACGGCCCAAGGACAUGAUCGGUCCGUUGCGGGAAGUGCUGGAGAGUGGGGAGGAACCAGUGUACAAGCRAGUUCUAUACAGCGACUACACUAAGCACUUCUUCAGGAAGGCGCAUGAUGGGAAGGAAACCCUGGACUUCGCAAAAGCCUGAUUUUAAUUAUUCUGGAAGCCUUGUUUCUACAAAACAUAAUGCAUGUGGAAAAUUCCAAGAAUAAAGAACAGGUUGUAGGAGUUGGAUACAACCUGUUUUGCUGGUUCUGGUGAGGGAUUUACCAUUUAAUGUACGUUGUCUUCAAUGAAGUAUUUUAUAUGCAUUGCCAAUUUAAUUAUAAAGAAUAAUAAAGAAGUAUUUGACGAUUAUGGAA